rnacentral:rRNA from 1 species
UCCAGAGGUGGCACGCGUUGUUCGGAAUUACUGGGCGUCAAGGGCGCGUAGGCGGCCUCGCAAGUCCCGUGUGAAAUCCCUCGGCUCAACUGAGGAAUGGCACGGGAAACUGCGGGGCUUGAGUUCGGGAGAGGGAAGCGGAAUUCCGGGUGUAGCGGUGAAAUGCGUAGAUAUUGGGAGGAACACCAGUGGCGAAGGCGGCUACCUGGACCGGUUCUGACGCUGAGGCGCGAAAGCUAGGGGAGCAAACGGG